CAGCAGUUGCUGGGAAAAGGAUGCCUAGUUACUGCCCUGCUUUCCACUCCCUCCCCCCAACACCCAACCACCUUUUUUAAUUUUCCUUUCCUGGUGCUAUUGGAUCCUAAAGCAUUUCUAAAACUCCUUUCAGAAACUGACUACCCAAAUCCACAAACAGACCAGAGUUCAAUUCCGAGCAUUAUAAAUGGUCACGCUAAUUAAAUGCAGCUAAAAUACUGAAAAGAGACGCGGAGAAGACAGAAUUAAUGACAAAACACCCUCAGAGAGCAUAGGAGGAGAAAAAGUACCGAUGUAGAAAGGUGAUUUAUGGCGAUUCUCUGGUUGCUGAAACAGAUGAAUUAUUGAGAACCUUACAGCAGAAAGGAGCUUUAGGUUGGAAGAUUGAUGACUAAAAACCAUGGGGAAGUAAUCCUUUCUGCAUCAGUAUGGCAAAGCUCAGUCCUGGGAGGCAGGUCACCAUAGGUCAAGGCCUGAAGUGGAAACCCUGAGCUGGAGAACUGCUCUGAUCAGCUCCUGCCCCCACGCUGCCUUCUCUCCACUCCCUCAUUAACAAAAGGAAGCUGGACAUUUCGGUGGUGUGAUUUCUCUCAGCUGCACAGUUUGGCUCCUAACCAAAAGCCUCGGCCCUAUGCAAAGAUAAAGAGGUUUCAGGCAAUGGUUAUUGCAAUUGGAUGGCAAUUCAAGAACUGAUCUCUAUCAGACGCCAAUGAUGCACUUAAGAAGCCAUCCGUUGUGCUUCCUUGCAUCUGGGAACUCAGCAAACCUGCACAGUUUGGUCCUGCCUGCUAGCCCUGCCUACAUACGCACAGCAUGGCAAUUACAGCAGGAGGAAUUCUGAAAUAAUUGCGUGUUUGAAGCAUGAGGUUCAUCUCUGACCAGACCUCAGACUGUGCUUUCCACAACAUUAAAGUUGCUGAAGGACUCUUACAUAAGCCUAAUUGACACAAUUAAAAGAAUGAUUCCUUACAGAUGUGUGUUGCUUUAGCAACCUGGGGCGAGGGGAGCGAAAGUGUUCUCCAUAUUUAGGAAAAUAAUAUUAAUCAUAAUAGGUAGAAGCCCUUUAUCCAUUUUAUAAGACUCUUGCUCUGAAGCCAACUGUCUUACCGUGUUGCAACAAGAAUCACUCUACCGGAGCUGUAAUAAUUUGACGUUGAGCUAAAAGUCUCUUGGUAAAUAACCAAAAUUACAUGGAGACAGAAGUGUAUUCACAUCGGUGUCUAAAUCUCCCAGGAUGCAGGCAGGAGGAUUAGCUGUUCAAGGCUUUGAUUCUG
rnacentral:lncRNA from 1 species